GGCAGCAGUGGGGAAUUUUGGACAAUGGGGGCAACCCUGAUCCAGCCAUGCCGCGUGCAGGAUGAAGGCCUUCGGGUUGUAAACUGCUUUUGUCAGGGACGAAAAGGAUCGUGAUAAUACCAUGGUCUGCUGACGGUACUAAGAAU
rnacentral:rRNA from 1 species